rnacentral:SRP_RNA from 1 species
GCUGGGUAUGGUGGCUCAUGCCUGUAAUCCCAGCACUUUGGGAGGCUGAGGCAGGUGGAUUGCUUGAGCCCAGGAGUUCAGGCCAGCCUGGACAACAUGGUGAAACCCCGCCUCUU